rnacentral:rRNA from 1 species
CCUACGGGGGGCUGCAGUGGGGAAUAUUGGACAAUGGGGGGAACCCUGAUCCAGCCAUGCCGCGUGUGUGAAGAAGGCCCUCGGGUUGUAAAGCACUUUCAGUGAGGAAGAACGCCUGGUGGUUAAUACCUAUCAGGAAAGACAUCACUCACAGAAGAAGCACCGGCUAACUCCGUGCCAGCAGCCGCGGUAAUACGGAGGGUGCGAGCGUUAAUCGGAAUUACUGGGCGUAAAGCGCGCGUAGGUGGCUUGAUAAGCCGGUUGUUAAAGCCCCGGGCUCAACCUGGGAACGGCAUCCGGAACUGUCAAGCUAGAGUGCAGGAGAGGAAGGUAGAAUUCCCGGUGUAGCGGUGAAAUGCGUAGAGAUCGGGAGGAAUACCAGUGGCGAAGGCGGCCUUCUGGACUGACACUGACACUGAGGUGCGAAAGCGUGGGUAGCAAACAGGAUUAGAUACCCUAGUAGUC